CACCCACCUAUCCAUCUGGCCGAGGCGGACUGACAUUCUCACCCUGGCUAUCCACAAAACUCCCAAACCCAGACGAACCUAUUCCCUCUUCCCUGCACUUCCCUCACAGUACUACCACCCUAAACAUGACGACGAGUACAAAACACAUGGCAACACAUCACGGGAACUCAACAUAACGAAACUAAAUGAUGUGAGGGGUAGCACCUCAG